UGUCGGCCUGGGCUGGAGCUCACCUCCCCGCUAACCGGGAUACCACGGCUGUGCUGGGUCUGCUUCAGGCUCAGACGGGCUGAACGAAACUUUCCCUGACUUUUGGCCGAGUGAAAUGCAGAUCACAGAGGUUCCUAAACGAUUAGUCACCCAUCCCAGUGAGCUCAGAAACCCACAGGAGGGAAUAAUAAGCGAAACUUGAAAGGAGAAAUCAAAGGACUGGCCCAAAGUUGCAGAACAGCAGGAGGCCGAGUUCCAUUAAAUCACCGGGAGAGGCCGGAGCCAGGAAAAAGCCAGAAAAAUCUGGAAGAGAGCAGCUUGUUUCUCACAGAAACCAAAUGGGGUGGAGAAAAAGUGGGUGCAGGCGUCGUGUGUGAAGGCUGCCCUCGUCCCAGGAAGGCUUUCUUGCACACUCCACAACGACAGCACGUCACAGUGCCUUGCCAUGGAUGAGUGGACUGGCUGAGGGUGCAAGUUUAAGAGGGAUCCACUAAAGCUAUGCUACAGAGCGAAGAUGCAUCCCUUAAGAGCAUCAAUGAACAAUGGCAGAAUGGCAAGAGAUGAACUCCCAAAUGCUGAACCUUCAAAUCUCCAAGCAGAAACCAGAAGUUUUUCUUCAAGAAUUGAUUCACAUGGAACAGUUUUUUUACCGUUUUUUUUCCUUCUCUCAGUUUCAGCACUUUAGGGGUCACUUAAAAUGAAAGGAUUCUGGCCUUCCAUUUUAGAUAGAGGAUCAUGAGCCUUCAUAGCUCCCUAACAAACAGAAAUGGUUUUGAUUUACCUAUGCUGUCUGCCCCUCCCAAUAUCCUGAAAGUUUUAAUCAAGUCAUCCAUUAACCUUCUAAAUUUUCGAGAAUAUAAUCCUAGUUUGUGCAGUCUUAACACAAGUCCAGGUGGAAAAGCUACAUUCUGGAAAACCUACAUUGACCUUCAUCCUAGAACGAUAUAACCUUCCUGAGGUGUGGUAUCCAGAUCUGCUUAUAGUACUUGGAGC